CCUACGGGAGGCAGCAGUAGGGAAUCUUUCACAAUGGGCGAAAGCCUGAUGGAGCACCGCCGCGUGCAGGAUGAAGGCCUUCGGGUUGUAAACUGCUUUUAUAAGCGGGAAAUAUGAUGGUAACUUAUGAAUAAGGAUCGGCUAACUACGUGCCAGCAGCCGCGGUCAUACGUAGGAUCCGAGCAUUAUCCGGAGUGACUGGGUGUAAAGAGUUGCGUAGGUGGCAUAAUAAGUAGCUAGUGAAAUCUGGUGGCUCAACCAUUCAGACUAUUAGCUAAACUGUUAAGCGCGAGACCGUUAGGGGUAACUGGAAGUUCUAGUGUAGGAGUGAAAUCCGUAGAUAUGAGAAGGAACACCAAUAGCGUAGGCAGGUUACUGGGACGGUUCUGACACUAAGGCACGAAAGCGUAGGGAGCAAACGGGAUUAGAUACCCCGGUAGUC
rnacentral:rRNA from 1 species